UACAGAGGGUGCAAGCGUUAAUCGGAAUUACUGGGCGUAAAGCGUGCGCAGGCGGUUGUGUAAGACAGAUGUGAAAUCCCCGGGCUCAACCUGGGAACUGCAUUUGUGACUGCACAGCUGGAGUGCGGCAGAGGGGGAUGGAAUUCCGCGUGUAGCAGUGAAAUGCGUAGAGAUGUGGAGGAAUACCGAUGGCGAAGGCAGCCCCCUGGGAUAACACUGACGCUCAUGCACGAAAGCGUGGGGAGCAAACAGG
rnacentral:rRNA from 1 species